rnacentral:lncRNA from 1 species
CUAGCAUCUGACAACAUCACAGAAUCACAGAAUCAUAGAAUCCUAGAAUCCUGGAAUCGUUUCAGUUGGAAGGGAUAGCCUUAAAGGCCAUCAGGUCCAACUCCCCUGCAAUGAACAGGGACAUCUGCAGCUAGAUCAAGGUGCUCAGUCCACAGCCUCAUUGCUGUUGUGAAACUCUCUGCAAUGGCAGGAGAAGCUGGAGGGAAGAAGAGGUGAAGAGAAAUGAAUACAUUCAGAAUUUUCCAAUAUCUGGCAAAAAUAUCAAAAGAAAAAUCACUGGAAAAUGCUGCUGGAGGAUCAGCCAUGGGUACAAACACAGCGUGAAUAACAAGAGCCAGGGCGCUUCCUCCCAGGAGAUGUUUCCUCUCCCAGUGAGGUCCCAGUGACCUCCUGCAUGCUUUGCUGUGAGUUUCUCCCCACAGAUCCUUCCUGGAGCACAGCACCCAGAGGCAGGGGCAGAGCAGAGGGGAUGGAGGAGCGGGGAGGGGAGGGGAAAUGAAGGAAAAAGUAUUUUCUUCCGAGCUCCCCUGAGAAAAUUAGUGUGAAGCAGGAAGGAGCUGAUUGCUGUCAAGGCCUGCCAGAGCCCAGAUAGCCGGCUGCAGUCCCCAGGCACAAAUGUGAUAAUAGCCAACCUGCUAAAAUCAUUAACAGUAACGAUUGCCUCUGAAAAGACCCCAACACCUAGGAGGAAGAAGCAGUGACAGGAGAGGAAGAAAAAAAGAAGAAGAAGAUAAAGGAAGGGAGCAAUUGUAAUUUCCUCUUCGCAUUUCUGUACUGUUUUCCAUAACCCUCUGAUCCUGACAAAUACGGCCUCACCCAGUUGAGAUCCAGUCCAUCUUUGCCCAGCCUUCACUGCUGUGAGCAUUUAUUUUCCCUUUACUUGCUGGUGGGAGAGCAAAAGGAAUGGGGUUGAAGGAUCAGAGGGAAAUGUUUCUUUAAAGCAGCUGUUGCCUUUAGGUGUCUCUUUGGGGAUACUAUCUGAUUAA